rnacentral:rRNA from 1 species
GACGAAGGUGGCGAGCGUUGUUCGGAUUCACUGGGCGUAAAGGGUGCGUAGGCGGCCGGGUAAGUCUGGUGUGAAAGUUCGCAGCUCAACUGCGAAAAGUCAUUGGAUACUCUCCGACUGGAGGAAUGGAGGGGGGACUGGAAUACUUGGUGUAGCAGUGAAAUGCGUAGAUAUCAAGUGGAACACCAGUGGCGAAGGCGAGUCCCUGGACAUUUCCUGACGCUGAGGCACGAAAGCUAGGGGAGCAAACAGG